rnacentral:lncRNA from 1 species
UCUGAUCAGGCCCUACACCCAAACAAGGGCACUGCGUUCAUCCACCACUGGCCUGCUGGCCCCCCUACCUCUGAGGAAGCACAGUUCCCGCUCAGCCCAGGCAAAACUGUUCGCUGCUCUGGCACCCCAAUGGUGGAACAAGCUCCCUCACGACGCCAGGACAGCGGAGUCAAUCACCACCUUCCGGAGACACCUGAAACCCCACCUCUUUAAGGAAUACCUAGGAUAGGAUAAAGUAAUCCUUCUAACCCCCCCCCUAAAAUAUUUAGAUGCACUAUUGUAAAGUGGUUGUUCCACUGGAUAUCAUAAGGUGAAUGCACCAUUUUGUAAGUCGCUUCUGGAUAAGAGCGUCUGCUAAAUGACUUAAAUGUAAAUGUAAAUGUUAUCCUGAAACCUUCAUGAUCUAAACAUGGAAUAUUGUUUGUCAGUUUCCAUAAAGCUAUGCACUAUCAUUUUGAGCAGUUGUAUCAAUUGAUAGUUAGAUCAUUGUAAUGAAAUGAAUAGACAGUCAUCUCAGAUGUAGUGUGUGAAUUUCAUUUUGAAAUGGUAAUACUUUGAUGUUAAGUUGUGUCAUUUUGAACAGAUGAUUUUAGUUCAAUGAACCAAUUAUCUUAGCUUUAUGUGCAUUGUAUCCAAGCAAUUGGAAAAAGUGUUAGAGUUUUGAAAAAUGUGCAUUUUGAUCAUUGGUUGUGAGUUUUGUGUCUAGAGUUUUGAAAAAUUACAUCAAGGUUCCGAAAUUAGUGCCAAAGUGAUAGUAAAAAAACUGUAUGAAAUGCCAUUGGUUAGUGGAUAUAAAGUCAUCUUUGAUAGGCAGAUGCGGAAUUUGUUACAGGAAAUAAUCACUGCCACCUGGUCAGGUAGGGCUAAACGUGCCAGGUUAUAUAAUGGGAACAACUAACGUAGCAUUUUAUCACGUGCAACUAUGUCAACGAUUUUUAUUGACUGAGAUAGAGAAAAAGUUGACACUUUUUCUAAUAUUUGCAUUUAUGGACCCAGAAUUUCUUCAGUGGAGAUGGAAACUAUUGGCUUUAUGGGUGGAACAGCAGUAAGUUACCCCAACCUAGUGUCUGACCUUUCAAUGCUAACUGCCUGCCAUCUGAUAAAGACAACCUACACUCAGACUAAUUGUCUGGAGAGAAAACACUGUGUGUGUGUGUGUGUGUGUGUGUGUGUGUGUGUGUGUGUGCGUGUGCGAGGAGGCAGUUGUGCAUGUUGUGUGUGUGUGUGUGUGUGUGUGUGUGUACGUGUGUGCGCACUAGGGGUGUAACUUGAUAGCAGUGCAAAUGAUGUCUUAGAUUAGGUUGUAUUGCACUGGGAGUUUAGCAUGUACUGUAGGGCUUAUCCUUCUAGAGUGUGGCAAGAUAUAAUGACUCUUGUUUCCUCUUCACUUCACACUUCCUAUUGUCAUUUUGAAAAGAUAAACACAUUUGGGCCAACGCUACAGUGAGAUAACAUCAUUAUCUAAAUGUUCCAGUCCUGCCAUGGCUAUCAUUUAAAAUGAUUAAAAUGAUUGUUUAAUUCCAGUCCAUGCGUAUCAUUGUCCAUUUUCUGAAGGCAACUUUGCCAUUCACGGCUCUAGAUAAUUCCAAGAAUUUAGACCUACAGUAGCUUUUAAUUUCAGCAGAAAGAUAGCACUGGGCGAAAAGGGUCAAUAUCAGGGGAUAUCUUUAUAGGCCUAUGAGAUAGGCCUAUGUGGACAACUUAUUUUCUCUAUAUGAUGACAAAUACUGACAGUUGGCCUACGUGGUAUAUUUUCUCAGCACAUACAAUGCAUAUGCUCCUGACUGAGGUCCAUAUCAGGAUCUUGAUAUGCUUUUUGUUAUGCUAAAUAAGGAACAUUUAUGCUUAUUUGACUCUUGGGGACAUGUUCAAUCAUUUAACAAAUAAUACAUCCAUAUAUCCAUUUUAUUUCAAACACUAGCUAAACUUUUUGUAAUCCAUCUGCAUAAAGGAACGCGCAAACCGCAAGCUAAAAGCACUGAACUGGUAGCCUAGCAACAAGAUUCACCUCUUUUCUGCUGUCUUUAUUUGGGCGCCACAAAUGAGUUUGUAAACGGUGUGUGGUCGAACUGACAACUGGAGAAACAAAGAAGUGAGAAGCUGUUCUGAAAAUACCUCAAAGAAGUUAACGCUAAAUUUGGAGUGGAUCACAGACCAGCACUGCCACCAUGUUGGAUAUGGAAUUCGAGGGACUGCCCCUGACAACCUAAUCUGCACCCAUUGCAUCCAUCGUCCGUAAUAACAAGGUGAGACACGGGCCAGCGAGGACUCACCGGCAGAGCCAGGACCCCAGAGGACAGCAACAUCUGCCAGACACAUCGUGGCCUCGUCCCCCCUGGGUGUCCAUGUGUCUGUCAGCACCUCGUCUGUCCAGGGAUGAGGUGAGGAUGAGGGGUUAGGAUGAAGGAUAAGGUCGAGGCAUUGGGGGGGUUGACCGGAGGGAGCAGGGGGACCUUGUUCACCCCUGGAACAUUGGUUUGACAAGCCUAUCCGCUGCUGGCCUAUGACCUCAGACUUGGCAGGUGUGUGUUUGAGAGAGGGGAGGAUGAGAGGAGGAUGAGACUGGGGAUGAGAUUAGAACACUGUACAUAGCCAUAAUAUGACAUUUGAAAUGUCUCUAUUCUUUUCAAACGUUUGAGCGUAAUAUUUACUGUUCAUUUUUUAUUGUUUAUUUCACUUUUGUUUAUUGUCAAUUUCACUUGCUUCGGGCAAAUUUAAACAUGUUUCCAAUGCCAAUAAAGCCCUUUAAAUUGAAUUGAUUGGGAAAAGAGAGACAAGGAGAGAGGGUGAGGACCAGCAGAAGAAACAUUAACAGCCACACACACACACUCCUGAUCUGUGUCUCAGCUAGCAGCCAUAUGGAAUUCUUCAGGAAGCACCAAAACACAGUGGUGAGGUUACAGGCUGAGUAUAACAAUCACAAUCCUCUAUACAAAGUCUGACCUUUAGAUGUACAGCAGGUUUAAACCAUGUACAACAGGUUCUUAUACCUG